rnacentral:rRNA from 1 species
UACAGAGGGCGCAAGCGUUAUCCGGAUUCACUGGGUUUAAAGGGUGUGUAGGCGGGCUGUUAAGUCAGUGGUGAAAUCUCAAGGCUCAACCUUGAAACUGCCAUUGAUACUAUCAGUCUUGAAUCUUGUUGAGGUAGGCGGAAUAUAUCAUGUAGCGGUGAAAUGCUUAGAUAUGAUAUAGAACACCGAUUGCGAAGGCAGCUUACUAAACAAGCAUUGACGCUGAGGCACGAUAGCGUGGGGAUCAAACAGG